AGAAGUCGUCGAAGGGGGAAUCAAUAACUGGGGUGAAGUCGUAACAAGGUAGCCGUAUCGGAAGGUGCGGCUGGAUCACCUCCUUUCUAAGGAGA
rnacentral:rRNA from 1 species